rnacentral:rRNA from 1 species
CCUACGGGUGACAGCAGUGAGGAAUAUUGGUCAAUGGGCGGGAGCCUGAACCAGCCAAGCCGCGUGAGGGAAGAAGGUACAGCGUAUCGUAAACCUCUUUUGUCAGGGAACAAAGGCGGGGACUAGUCCCCGGAUGAGGGUACCUGAAGAAAAAGCAUCGGCUAACUCCGUGCCAGCAGCCGCGGUAAUACGGAGGAUGCGAGCGUUAUCCGGAUUUAUUGGGUUUAAUGGGUGCGCAGGCGGCCUGUUAAGUCAGCGGGAAAAGCACGGGGCUCAACCCCGGCGAGCCGUUGAAACUGGCGGGCUGGAGUUGGAGAGAAGUACGCGGAAUACGCGGUGUAGCGGUGAAAUGCUUAGAUAUCGCGCAGAACCCCGAUUGCGAAGGCAGCGUACCGGCUCCACACUGACGCUGAGGCACGAAAGCGUGGGUAUCGAACAGGAUUAGAUACCCGAGUAGUC